rnacentral:rRNA from 1 species
CAAUAGCGUAUACUAAAGUUGUUGCGAUUAAAAAGCUCGUAGUUGGAUCUCAGGCAUGGGCGCACGGUCCGCCUCGCGGCGGUCACUGUGUGUUUUGUUUCCCAUCCUACGCUUCCCGGUUAUCAGCCCAUGGUGCUCUUCACUGAGCGUUUUGGGUGGCCGGAACGUUUACUUUGAAGAAAUUAGAGUGUUCAAGGCAGGCACGUCGCCUGAAUAAUGGUGCAUGGAAUAAUGGAAUAGGACCUCGGUUCUAUUUUGCUGGUUUUCGGAACACGAGGUAAUGAUUAAGAGGGACAGACGGGGGCAUCCGUAUUGCGGUGUUAGAGGUGAAAUUCUUGGAUCAUCGCAAGACGAACAACUGCGAAAGCAUUUGCCAAGCAUGUUUUCAUUAG